GCCGGCGUAGCUCAGUUGGUAGAGCAGCUGAUUCGUAAUCAGCAGGUCGUCGGUUCGAGUCCGACCGCCGGCU
rnacentral:tRNA from 1 species